rnacentral:rRNA from 1 species
GAUGAACGCUGGCGGCGUGCCUAAUACAUGCAAGUCGAGCGAACAGACGAGGAGCUUGCUCCUCUGACGUUAGCGGCGGACGGGUGAGUAACACGUGGAUAACCUACCUAUAAGACUGGGAUAACUUCGGGAAACCGGAGCUAAUACCGGAUAAUAUAUUGAACCGCAUGGUUCAAUAGUGAAAGACGGUUUUGCUGUCACUUAUAGAUGGAUCCGCGCCGCAUUAGCUAGUUGGUAAGGUAACGGCUUACCAAGGCAACGAUGCGUAGCCGACCUGAGAGGGUGAUCGGCCACACUGGAACUGAGACACGGUCCAGACUCCUACGGGAGGCAGCAGUAGGGAAUCUUCCGCAAUGGGCGAGAGCCUGACGGAGCAACGCCGCGUGAGUGAUGACGGUCUUCGGAUCGUAAAACUCUGUUAUUAGGGAAGAACAAAUGUGUAAGUAACUAUGCACGUCUUGACGGUACCUAAUCAGAAAGCCACGGCUAACUACGUG